UUUUUUGCAAAUUUAACCAUC
rnacentral:piRNA from 1 species